rnacentral:tRNA from 1 species
UGCCCCGUGGUGUAAUGGUUAGCACAGCGGUCUCUAAAACCGUAUCCCUCUGAAGGAGUAAGUCUGGGUUCGAAUCCCAGCGGGGCUGCCAGCAA